UUUGAGGUAAACAACCUGAGAGGCUGGAGACAGUUACCCCUGAGUGUAGGGAUUCAAGUUUAGACGAGAGAAAGAAUCAGAGUGCCUGAGGAAUAGAGCAGUGUAUUACGGGGAAAAAUAAGGUUUAGUGUUGUGAUCUAUCGACUGUACCACAGAAUAUAUACUAAGCCUGUGAUUACACUUUAAAGGACUUGUUUUAUACUGUUUUUGUCCACUUACAAAAUACAACUUCAGCAAAACGGCAGAGACUGUACUUUAGUCUUUCAUUGUUUGCCCUAGCCAGGUGCACCCUCAUCACUUCCUAAAGCUAGAGUGAAGUAGCAUUAGUAGCUGCUCAACAGAGAUCUUCUCCUCUUCCCCUCUCAGGAGUCGCCAUUCUCUCCCAGUCUCUGGCCGUCCAGGAUGUCCACCACAGGUUUUCCAACAGUUUCCAGCAGGGGACUCCACUCAGGGGCUUCUAUGGCGUCCAGCAGCAUGGCCAGCUCAGCCUCCAGCUUUUGUACUGUGUCCUCUACAUGCUGCAGGAGACAGACAGGGUCAUCUAUCAGCCCAACUCACAUUGAUUCUUAGGCCUUAUCCCUUUUAACCUAGACCUGAGUGUCGAUCUUAAAGACUUGCUCCAGGAACUUUAGCGACUAGAGUGUUGCAUGGGAAGCACAACCAGGUUCCCCAAUAGCCUUUCCAGGAACAACAGUGGUUGGCCUGCCAAGCGCCAUCAUCAGAUAGACAGGGAGCUGUACUGAAUGGAACAGAGUCUCCCAGCCAUCUAAACCCCAAAGCUCCAGGGUGGUGGUUGGCUGUGUGGUACACAGACCAUCAUCAAGGACAAUUUAGUGGGGGAAGAGGGACAGCUUGCCCAUGCUCAGUGUCUUAGUUCAUGCCCAGUCUCCUUGUUAAAAGCACUCUGCAGAUCCUAGAAAACCCCAUUGUCCUGCCAAGAGCUUAGGCCAGCUUUGGAUACCGGUUAACUAUUUGGCAGAGACAUGCCUCCUUUUCACUAACAAAGGGAUUAGGGGUUAAAUCUGGUGUGUGUGUUUGGUUUUCUGUCCUUGUGGGGACAAGAAGUACUCACAAGGAGAUUAAAAUAAGGACAAUUCUGACAAGUGGGGACAUUUAGCUAUUUUAGGCUUAGGGGUUAUAUUUAGGGUUACAAUUAAGGUUAGGGGUUAAAGUUAUGGUUAAGGUUAGGUUAAGAGUUAGGUUUAUUAAGGUUAGGGUUAGAGGUUAAGGUUAGGGCUAGCUUAAGGAAAAUAAGAUUUUGAAUGGGAAUCAAUUGUUAGGUCCCCACAAGGAUAGUAAAACAGACUUGUGUGUGUUUAUUUGUGUAGAUGGGAGUGGAUAUACUGUCUGAGAGAUACAGAGAUCUACUGUGCUCAUGUUUUAUCUCUUCUCUCAGUGUUCCUUUCCCACUGAUUCCCAGAUUCACAUAUUGAGGACAUCAAAUAUUACAGUAUUUACUAGAUAGUAUGUUGCUGACUUAAUCACACUGAAUGUAAUAGUGUCAUGAAAUGACAAAGAUAAAG
rnacentral:lncRNA from 1 species